ACACCGGCAGCCCAAGUGGUGACCAUUUUUAUUGGGCCUAAAGCGUUCGUAGCCGGCCUGAUAAGUCUCUGGUGAAAUCCCGCAGCUUAACUGUGGGAAUUGCUGGAGAUACUAUCAGGCUUGAGGUCGGGAGAGGUUAGAGGUACUCCCAGGGUAGGGGUGAAAUCCUAUAAUCCUGGGAGGACCACCUGUGGCGAAGGCGUCUAACGGGAACGAACCUGACGGUGAGUAACGAAAGCCAGGGGCGCGAACCGGAUUAGAUACCCGGGUAGUCCUGGCCGUAAACGAUGUGGACUUGGUGUUGGGAUGGCCUCGAGCUGCCCCAGUGCCGAAGGGAAGCUGUUAAGUCCACCGCCUGGGAAGUACGGUCGCAAGACUGAAACUCAAAUGAAUUGGCGGGG
rnacentral:rRNA from 1 species